rnacentral:lncRNA from 1 species
GUAUAAUUAUAAUUAUUGGUGAUACAGUCAACAAAUGUAUGCUUAGUUAAUUCUUUAUAUUAAAUUAUUCCUGUUGGGAAAAAAGCUAAAGGAAGAUUUUUUUAAUUGAUCAUGCCAAAAAGUUACAUUGCUUUUUUUUUUUUUUUUUUAAACUAAAGUUAUCUUUAAUCUUUUCCAUGCAGAAAAACCACCUACAAGGACUCCUCAAACUCUCAAUAAACAUAGACUGUUCUCAUAGGACUCAGACUCUCUUGGACAGAAAUCUUUGUCCCCGUGAAAUACUGCCAUGUCGUCCUGAGAGACAAGAUGGAAAUAAACCUUUCCUCACGGGAGAGAGUGAAUGCCAGUUGAGACCUCACGAUAUAAAGACACGGCUGCUCACAAAUGUUCCACUGUGA